rnacentral:lncRNA from 1 species
AUUUGAUCAACCUACAGAGUGGAGUGGAAUAGAUUGAUUGAAAGACUACUUAAUUAGCGGUCGCACAUCACAAGGAUUUGAUUAGAAGAUUACUUAAUUGGCGGUCGCACAUCACAGGGAUUCCUGUCGGUUUCGCGAUCGUCAGUCGAGAUCGAUAGCAGGGGUGCAGGGCGCAGCGGCGGACCACACCAAAGCAGAAAAGAAGCAUCCAGCAGCCAGGGCUAAUUAAAAUACUGAAUAAUUAUGUUUUUUGCUUUCGUUACAAAGCCCUAAUUUCUUGAUAUAGAAUAUAUACACAAUAUAUUAUGUCUUUUUCACCCAUUCUAUACAUUGUUUUUGAUAUAGCUUACCACUCAUGCCAAGUGUUUUUUUCACCCAUUCAUCUUUGCAAUAACAAUACUAAAUAAUUAUAUAUUUUUGUGUCCAUCCUUAAUGUAUAUGUGCAUAACUUUUUUUUUCAAACGUCCCUUCUGCUAUUGGAUUGUUUGGGUGACAUAGUCAACCUAUAACGCAUCAAUAUAGUUGCUUUGAUCAGAAUCAAGGUUCAGUUUUUUCCAUUUUAUAUUAUCUACAUAAUCCUAUAGUUGAAUUGGAGUACGUUAUAGUUAUAUUAGUCAUUCAAUUAUAUUAAAUUUGAAACUUUGGGUCCAAUUUGAUUUUCGCCUGGGGGGGCCAAACUUGAAAUCGGAUAGUACUUUCAACAGAGAAUGAACAUGAAAAACUUACAUCUUAUCAACAUCUGUCAGUUCAACCCGACCUUCCGAACAUCACCUUGGUAAAUACAUGUAGAAUCCAACUCAAAAGAAAAA